rnacentral:rRNA from 1 species
CCUAAGGUAGCGAAAUUCCUUGUCAGGUAAGUUCUGACCCGCACGAAAGGCGUAACGAUUUGGGCGCUGUCUCGGCAGCAGACUCGGUGAAAUCUUAGUACCUGUGAAAAUGCAGGUUACCCGCAACUAGACGGAAAGACCCCAUGGAGCUUUACUGCAGCCUGAUAUUGAAUUUUGAUGAAGCAUGUACAGGAUAGGUGGGAGGCGAAGAGACGUGCACGCCAGUGUACGAGGAGCCGACGUUGGGAUACCACUCUUGUUUGAUCGAGGUUCUAACCUGGUGCCUGAGACGGGCAUGGGGAGAGUGUCAGGUGGGCAGUUUGACUGGGGCGGUCGCCUCCCAAAGAGUAACGGAGGCGCCCAAAGGUACGCUCAGAUUGGAUGGAAAUCAAUCGACGAGUGCAAAUGCAGAAGCGUGCUUGACUGUGAGAGCAACAACUCGAACAGGGACGAAAGUCGGGAUUAGUGAUCCGGCGGUGCCGAAUGGAAGGGCCGUCGCUCAACGGAUAAAAGCUACCCUGGGGAUAACAGGCUGAUCUCGCCCAAGAGUUCACAUCGACGGCGAGGUUUGGCACCUCGAUGUCGGCUCAUCGCAUCCUGGAGCUGAAGUCGGUUCCAAGGGUUGGGCUGUUCGCCCAUUAAAGCGGUACGCGAGCUGGGUUCAGAACGUCGUGAGACAGUUCGGUCCCUAUCUGUUGUGGGCGUAGGAGAUUUGAGGAGAGCUGUCCUUAGUACGAGAGGACCGGGAUGGACCUGCCGCUGGUGUACCGGUUGUUCCGCCAGGAGCACGGCCGGGUAGCUAAGCAGGGAAGGGAUAAGCGCUGAAAGCAUCUAAGCGCGAAGCCUACUCCAAGAUGAGAUCUCCCAUACGAAAGUAGUAAGACCCCUUGAAGACGACGAGGUUGAUAGGUCAGGGAUGGAAGCGUAGCGAUACGUGGAGUUGACUGAUACUAAUCGGUCGAGGACUUGAUCUG